rnacentral:ncRNA from 1 species
GGGCUUGACAUGCCGUGAAUCCUCUUGAAAGAGAGGGGUGCCCUCGGGAACGCGGAUACAGGUGGUGCAUGGCUGUCGUCAGCUCGUGCCGUAAGGUGUUGUGUUAAGUCUCGCAGCCCUUUUCUUUUUCUUAGCUUUAUUUGAAGCGUAGUUUUUCACCUGAAAAAGAAGGCGCCAGCAGGCGUGUGGGAGAGAAAGGAGUUGGGCCAACUUUCGGCCCAACGACC